CUUCGGAUAUCGUGGGGACAGCGGCAAACGGGUGAGUAACACGUGGGAACUUACCCCAAACUCAGGGAUAAGCCAGGGAAACCUGGUCUAAUACCGGAUAGUCCAGCAAUGGUAAAGCCUUAGGGCGGUUUGGGAGAGGCCUGCGGUAGAUUAGUUAGUUGGUGGGGUAAAGGCCUACCAAGACGAUGAUCUAUAGCUGAUGUGAGAGCAUGAUCAGCCACAAUGGAACUGAGACACGGUCCAUACUCC
rnacentral:rRNA from 1 species